rnacentral:rRNA from 1 species
UGGGGAAAUAUUGCACAAUGGGCGCAAGCCUGAUGCAGCCAUGCCGCGUGUAUGAAGAAGGCCUUCGGGUUGUAAAGUACUUUCAGUCGGGAGGAAGGUGGUAAGGUUAAUAACCUUAUCAAUUGACGUUACCGACAGAAGAAGCACCGGCUAACUCCGUGCCAGCAGCCGCGGUAAUACGGAGGGUGCAAGCGUUAAUCGGAAUUACUGGGCGUAAAGCGCACGCAGGCGGUUGAUUGAGUCAGAUGUGAAAUCCCCGGGCUUAACCCGGGAAUUGCAUCUGAUACUGGUCAGCUAGAGUCUUGUAGAGGGGGGUAGAAUUCCAUGUGUAGCGGUGAAAUGCGUAGAGAUGUGGAGGAAUACCGGUGGCGAAGGCGGCCCCCUGGACAAAGACUGACGCUCAGGUGCGAAAGCGUGGGGAGCAAACAGG